rnacentral:lncRNA from 1 species
AAACUGAGUAGAGGAUUCCCCAAUUACCUCAAAAUUUAAAAUUUUAGGUAAGAAAAUUUAAACUUUGAAGACAGAAAAAAGAUAAAACGCUGCUGCUUCUCCAAGAUAAAAUAAGAAUGGCCAUGGCUUCCCGACAAUCACCUGGACUUACCUGAAACAGACUCAUUGAAUCAGGAGAAUUGGCUUCCAGGUUCUACAGCCUCUCUUCCUCCCUCCAACACGAAAGCCCGAGCAAAGCUGGCUCUGUACGCAGGAUGAGGGGAGGCUUGUGUGUGUGUGUGCGCUGUGGGUUCCUGAUCAGAAAGUUCUACCCCAUCUGAUGAGCCCUGGCAAAAAAGUCAUCAGAGAUGGUACUGAGGCUCUGAAAGCCUACGUGCUGGGGAGGAAGAUCCCAAGGAAGCAAUAAGUAACAGACUGACUUCACCUGGGCCCAUAACUCAUACCAAGGAACUAAUUCAACUGCUUCUGUGACUUCCACCCAGGAACUGACUCAACACAAGAAGACAGCUUCAACCCUCUGUAAUUUCAUCCCUGGCCCAACCAAUCAGCAUCCCCCAUUCCCUAGCCCCUUGACUGCCAAACUAUCUUUGAAAAACCCUAACCUUUGAGCUUUUGGGGAGGGUGAUUUGAGUAAUAAACUCCCAUCCUUCCACUUAACUAGCCCUGUGAUUAUUAAACUCUUUCUCUACUGCGGUACUGCUGUCUCAGUGGAUUGGUUUUAUCUGUACAGUGAGCAAACAAGAGCACCAUGGUUUCCAGAGCUGCUU